rnacentral:rRNA from 1 species
CAGUCGCCGCGGUAAUACGAAGGGUGUAAGCGUUACUCGGAAUUACUGGGCGUAAAGCGUGCGUAGGUGGUGGUUUAAGUCCGUUGUGAAAGCCCUGGGCUCAACCUGGGAAUUGCAGUGGAUACUGGGUCACUAGAGUGUGGUAGAGGAUAGUGGAAUUUCCGGUGUAGCAGUGAAAUGCGUAGAGAUCGGAAGGAACAUCUGUGGCGAAGGCGAUUAUCUGGGCCAACACUGACACUGAGGCACGAAGCGUGGGGAGCAAACAGGAUUAGAUACCCGCGUAGUCCCUGUCUCUUAUACA